rnacentral:lncRNA from 1 species
UUUUCGCCAACUUCAUCACCGGGCUAUAGCCCGUCGUCCCCCGGGUACAGCCCAUCAUCUCCGGGAUACAGCCCCACCUCGCCUGGUUAUAGCCCAACCUCACCGGGCUAUAGCCCUACAUCUCCGGGUUACAGUCCCACCUCUCCAACUUACAGCCCAAGUUCACCCGGUUAUAGCCCAACAAGUCCUACCUACUCACCCACUUCACCUAGCUACUCCCCUACCUCACCAAGCUACUCACCCACAUCACCUAGCUACAGCCCUACAUCGCCAGCUUACAGCCCGACCUCUCCGGCUUACAGCCCGACCUCUCCUUCCUACAGCCCGACAUCACCAUCCUACAGCCCAACCUCACCCUCCUACAGCCCAACCUCACCCUCUUACAGCCCGACCUCUCCUUCCUACAGCCCAACAUCACCAUCCUACAGCCCGACCUCCCCUUCCUACAGCCCAACCUCCCCUGCUUACAGCCCAACUUCACCUGGGUACAGUCCUACUUCCCCAAGCUACAGUCCUACUUCUCCAAGUUACAGUCCCACCUCACCAAGUUACAACCCUUCAUCCGCUAAGUACAGCCCCUCGUUGGCUUAUUCUCCUAGUAGUCCAUACAGCCCUACAUCCCCCAACUAC